rnacentral:tRNA from 1 species
GCACCCUUAGCUCAGUUGGUAGAGCAACUGACUCUUAAUCAGUGGGUCUAGGGUUCGAAUCCCUAAGGGUGU